rnacentral:rRNA from 1 species
AAUUUGAGAAGACCUGUCCUUAGUACGAGAGGACCGGGAUGGACGUACCUCUGGUGUACCAGUUGUUCUGCCAAGGGCAUGGCUGGGUAGCUAUGUACGGAAUGGAUAAGCGCUGAAAGCAUCUAAGCGCGAAGCCAACUUCAAGAUAAGAUUUCCCACCGCAAGGGUAAGACCCCAGAAAGACUAUCUGGUUGAUAGGUCGAAGGUGUAAGUGCAGCAAUGUAUUUAGCUUAUCGAUACUAAUAGGUCGAGGACUUGACCAAU